rnacentral:rRNA from 1 species
CAAGCCUACGGGAGGCAGCAGUAGGGAAUCUUCCACAAUGGGCGAAAGCCUGAUGGAGCAACGCCGCGUGGGUGAAGAAGGUCUUCGGAUCGUAAAACCCUGUUGUUAGAGAAGAAAGUGCGUGAGAGUAACUGUUCACGUUUCGACGGUAUCUAACCAGAAAGCCACGGCUAACUACGUGCCAGCAGCCGCGGUAAUACGUAGGUGGCAAGCGUUAGCCGGAAUUAUUGGGCGUAAAGGGAACGCAGGCGGUCUUUUAAGGCUGAUGUGAAAGCCUUCGGGUUAACCG